ensembl:lncRNA
AUUUUCCUACAUAGGCAAAGAGAACUUGAGGGAAAGAGAGUGUCCGAGAAAAGUGCAGGGGAGAGAGAAUUUUUUUUUUGUACUUUAAUUUCUCUUUCUGACUGAAAUUUCUGUGCAAGACAGCACGCAACAGACUGUGUAUACAGUUGACAUUUCAGCUGGCAACAUAGACAUGCCCUUUGGAAAUGUUGUGUCUGCUUCUACCGUGGCCCAGCCCCAAAUACCCACAUUGGAAAGACCCAUUUGUGUCAGGGGAGCAUGGCUGCUUGCUGGCUCGGCGCCAGGACCAUCUUCUGCCCUGCAUGUCUCGCUUUUCCACAUCUCAUAAAAGCUGGUUUCUGUCGGCACCCAAGAGCCAUCACCACGAAGACGGGAGUGAGGCACCUUCGCGCCGGGCCUCAUCACCCACGUGUUCUAGCAUGGAUGGAGAGGUGUGUCUGCGGGCACGUCCACACUCUGCCGGCCGUAGGUGUGCGACGCUUGUGUGCCUGUGUGUGGAACUGUUACAGAGUUCCCAGCGGGUGGAACUAAAUAUAUGUUGUGUAUGGUUUUGUAUAAUUUAAGAUACAUGUGUGACAUCAUAAUGGAAGUAUUGUACAUAAGGCUCCUCAGGGAGAGUGAGAUAGACAUUUUGUCCGACUCUUACGGACCUUUUUUUGGUAAUGAAAUGCUUUGUUGAUCCAGUGAUGCAAGAAGCUACACCCCGUAUUUCAUCAUCAUAGUUAUGCUGCUUAAGGGGUUUUUAAGGCAAAAAAAAAAAAAAAAUGUCAACUGACUUUGAUAUUCGUCACUAUAAACCAGAGUCUCUUUUGUGCCCGUUGCUUCAUCGAGUGGCAGUGCUCUUUCGAGAGGGACACGGACCGGCCAAGGGUCUCAGGGCACAUUUAUCAAGGAACCCCCCGGGAGGACCCUGUAAGUGUGUUGAACUGCUGGCUGAAAAACCCGCAUGAGAUAAAGACCUUGGCUGUGAAGUCCAACAAAUUGAUCUUCUCAGGGUAUGAGCAGGGUCAGGAAGCAGGGCUAGGAAGAUGCGCUCUGACUUUGUUAAUUAAUUAACAAGGUAUAUGAUUUUGUUUUUCUCGAUGACAAACUUUUUUAAGUUUGGGACUUAUUUUCGAUUUGAGAAGUUGUAAUAUUUAUUUAAAGUGAGUUUCCCGCUUAAGUUGUGCCUUUCAGCGUCAGUGGGUCUAAAGCACAGAGGGUGAUGACCCUUGUGAGGGCUGGUUUAUUAUCAAACCUGAAUAGCUGUGGUUUCUCCAGUAAGCAUUUCCUUCUACUGAACAUGGAGCCAUUAUUAAAAGAAUUGUGUUUCUUAUUAUGUAAAUUGUAUAUUUUUUGCUUGUUUGAUGUUCUAUUUUUCUAAUAGUUUUCUUAUAGUUUCUUAUAAUUAUGAUCCUAGAUUUAGAUUCUGAUGCCCACUGCAAAUGAGGCUGUCCCUGCUGACCCCUCCUGUUUUUAUGUUAAGGACAAGCAUAGAUGUCCAUCGCCUUUAAAAAAUGUGAAACUGCUCUGUAUCCCAUUUUUGCUGACAACACUGUAUGUUGAAAACUUCCUACUAUAUGUUGUAAAAUCAAAUUAUUUUGUGGUACAUUAUCUCAUGCUUCCGCAAACUCUAAUAAAUUCUGUCUAUGGCUUCAGCACGCACAGUGUGAUCUCAAGAACUGUAGCAGCUCUCGGGGUUGGGGGGGGGUCCCCGCCCUGGC